rnacentral:rRNA from 1 species
AGAUUGAACGCCGGCGGCGUGCCUAACACAUGCAAGUCGAGCGGUAACAGGUGUAGCAAUACAUGCUGACGAGCGGCGAACGGGUGAGUAAUGCUUUGGAAUCUUCCCAGUAGUGGGGAAUAACCAGUCGAAAGAUUGGCUAAUACCGCAUACGUCUGUAAAGGGAAAGCGGGGGCUCGUAAGACCUCGCGCUAUUGGAUGAGCCAAAGUCGGAUUAGCUAGUUGGUGGGGUAAUGGCCUACCAAGGCGACAAUCCGUAGCUGGUCUGAGAGGACGACCAGCCACACCGGAACUGAGACACGGUCCGGACUCCUACGGGAGGCAGCAGUGGGGAAUAUUGGACAAUGGGGGAAACCCUGAUCCAGCGACGCCGCGUGUGUGAAGAAGGCCUGCGGGUUGUAAAGCACUUUUAGUGGGGACAAAAAGCUACGGACUAAUAUUCUGUGGUCUUGAUUUAACCCAAGAAAAGCACCGGCUAACUCUGCGCCAGCAGCCGC